CAGGGAGGGAGGCUUUGAGCGCUUUUGCGACUCUCUGACUCGGCUCUCUGCUUCGUCGUCAUUGUUACCUGACAAAGGAACUUGAUCCUACAUUCUUUCUUAAGUGGAUUUCCACUUUACUCACUUACAACUUUCAGCGACGGAUGUCUCGGCUCGAACAACGAUGAAGGGCGCAGCGAAGUGUGAUAAGCAUUGUGAAUUGCAAAAUUCCGUGAACCAAUAGGGAUUUGAACGUACACUGCGCUUUCGGGAUAUCCCUGAAAGCAUGCCUACUUCAGUGUCUACUCCAUCUAAUGCCAGUGGUCAAAUCCUCCUUGUGGGGAUUAACCACCUGUGCGUAUCUGUGUGUUAGGGUGUGCAACUUGCUCCCCUGACACAUUCAAUGCAUGGGGAUUCUUCACAGCACACAACUUGCAAAGCGUCUCUGAUGCCUUUUGUUGUGCUUCUGUGAAGGUAGCCCUUCCCUCUUAGUCCAGUUGGGACUUCUUCCAAGACAUGAAGUUAGGUCAGCAAACCCGCUGAAUUUAA
rnacentral:rRNA from 1 species